GUCCACGCUGUAAACGAUGAUCACUAGAUGUGGGUUUUGCUUUGCAAGAUCCGUGUCGAAGCUAACGCGUUAAGUGAUCCGCCUGAGAAGUACGGUCGCAAGAUUAAAACUCAAAGGAAUUGACGGGGGUCCGCACAAGCGGUGGAACAUGUGGUUUAAUUCGACACUACGCGAGGAACCUUACCUGGGUUUGACAUGUUUUUGACACCGGUAGAGAUAUCGGCUUCCGUGUUUACACGGACAAUUACACAGGUGCUGCAUGGCUGUCGU
rnacentral:rRNA from 1 species